CCUACGGGAGGCAGCAGUGGGGAAUAUUGCACAAUGGGGGAAACCCUGAUGCAGCGACGCCGCGUGAGUGAAGAAGUCAUUCGUUAUGUAAAGCUCUAUCAGCAGGGGAGAAAAUGACGUUACCUGAGUAAGAAGCUCCGGCUAACUACGUGCCAGCAGACGCGGUAAUACGGAGGGGGCAAGCGUUAUCCGGAUUUACUGGGUGUAAAGGGAGCGUAGACGGCAGUGCAAGUCUGUAGUGAAAGGCGGGGGCUCAACCCUCAGAUUGCAGUGGAAACUGUAAGGCUGGAGUGCAGGAGAGGUGAGUGGAAUUCCUAGUGUAGCGGUGAAAUGCUUAGAUAUUAGGAGGAACACCAGUGGCGAAGGCGGCUUACUGGACUGUAACUGACGUUGAGGCUCGAAAGCGUGGGGAGCAAACAGGAUUAGAUACCCGGGUAGUC
rnacentral:rRNA from 1 species